rnacentral:rRNA from 1 species
AUUGAACGCUGGCGGCAUGCCUUACACAUGCAAGUCGAACGGUAACAGGUCUUCGGAUGCUGACGAGUGGCGAACGGGUGAGUAAUACAUCGGAACGUGCCCGAUCGUGGGGGAUAACGAAGCGAAAGCUUUGCUAAUACCGCAUAAGAUCUACGGAUGAAAGCAGGGGACCGCAAGGCCUUGCGCGAACGGAGCGGCCGAUGGCAGAUUAGGUAGUUGGUGGGAUAAAAGCUUACCAAGCCGACGAUCUGUAGCUGGUCUGAGAGGACGACCAGCCACACUGGGACUGAGACACGGCCCAGACUCCUACGGGAGGCAGCAGUGGGAAAUUUUGGACAAUGGGCGAAAGCCUGAUCCAGCCAUGCCGCGUGCAGGAUGAAGGCCUUCGGGUUGUAAACUGCUUUUGUACGGAACGAAAAGACUCUUUCUAAUAAAGAGGGUCCAUGACGGUACCGUAAGAAUAAGCACCGGCUAACUACGUGCCAGCAGCCGCCGUAA